GAUGAAGAACGUAGCGAAAUGCGAUAAGUAAUGUGAAUUGCAGAAUUCAGUGAAUCAUCGAAUCUUUGAACGCACAUUGCGCCCGCCAGUAUUCUGGCGGGCAUGCCUGUUCGAGCGUCAUUACAACCCUCAGGCCCCCGGGCCUGGCGUUGGGGAUCGGCGGAAGCCCCCUGCGGGCACAACGCCGUCCCCCAAAUACAGUGGCGGUCCCGCCGCAGCUUCCAUUGCGUAGUAGCUAACACCUCGCAACUGGAGAGCGGCGCGGCCACGCCGUAAAACUCCCAACUUCUGAAUGUUGACCUCGAAUCAGGUAGGAAUACCCGCUGAACUUAAGCAUAUCAAUAAGCGGAGGA
rnacentral:misc_RNA from 1 species